GACGAACGCUGGCGGCGUGCUUAACACAUGCAAGUCGAACGAAGAGCGAUGGAAGCUUGCUUCUAUCAAUCUUAGUGGCGAACGGGUGAGUAACGCGUAAUCAACCUGCCCUUCAGAGGGGGACAACAGUUGGAAACGACUGCUAAUACCGCAUACGAUCUAAUCUCGGCAUCGAGGAUAGAUGAAAGGUGGCCUCUACAUGUAAGCUAUCACUGAAGGAGGGGAUUGCGUCUGAUUAGCUAGUUGGAGGGGUAACGGCCCACCAAGGCGAUGAUCAGUAGCCGGUCUGAGAGGAUGAACGGCCACAUUGGGACUGAGACACGGCCCAGACUCCUACGGGAGGCAGCAGUGGGGAAUCUUCCGCAAUGGACGAAAGUCUGACGGAGCAACGCCGCGUGAGCGAUGACGGCCUUCGGGUUGUAAAGCUCUGCUAAUCGGGACGAAAGGCCUUCUUGCGAAUAGUGAGAAGGAUUGACGGUACCGGAAUAGAAAGCCACGGCUAACUACGUG
rnacentral:rRNA from 1 species